GACAGAGGGGGCAAGCGUUGCUCGGAAUCAUUGGGCGUAAAGCGCACGUAGGCGGUUUGUUAUGUCGGAUGUGAAAGCCCUUGGCUCAACUGAGGAAGUGCAUCCGAAACUGGCAAGCUAGAGUACUAAAGAGGGUCGCGGAAUUCCCGGUGUAGAGGUGAAAUUCGUAGAUAUCGGGAGGAACACCGGUGGCGAAGGCGGCGACCUGGGUAGAUACUGACGCUGAGGUGCGAAAGCGUGGGGAGCAAACAGG
rnacentral:rRNA from 1 species